rnacentral:lncRNA from 1 species
UCAAAUUCAAAACUCAAAUACAAAAAAAUACGAAAAUUAUUCUUCAAUCACCCCUUAUCACGCCUCUUCCUCCUCUAAUUUCUCAUUCGGUUUUGGAAACCAAAUCUCCAUUAUAUACGCCAAGCCAUAGCUAUCUAUAUUAAUGUUGUCAUCCUCUUUUGAAAUUUUCAUUUUUUUCUCCACUGACCACAAACUUCGAUCACUACAGUCUUCUUUUGUUUUUUAUUUUUGUAGAUUUUUCUACUGGUUAUGGACUUCAGGAGUAGGUAUGUAUUUUCUCUCCAUCUAUAUUAAUUUUGAUUUUGGAACUCAAUUGUUAUACUACUUUUGAGGUUUUUAAUUGAUAUGUCUAUGCAGUUGGGUUAAUUUCUCUCUACAUCUCCAGAAAUCAACGACCAAAUCGUAUCCAAAAUUGAAUCUACAGGUAAGGCUCAAUUCCUACUUUUAAUGGAUUACUAAUACACCUCUGCCACCUCCAUCUACAAACACUUAGCACUUCAAUUUCUCUCCAAUCAAGCUUCUUCAUCUUCCUCACAAAGCCAAUGUAGUCCUCGAACCCAAUUAGGGCGAGGUCAGUAUAUUGUUUGUGGUUAUGAAUCACUUUUGAAUUUUUGAUUAGUCCUCUGAUGGGUUCGAUCUAAAGCUUUUAAGGGGAAAAUGAUUUUCUUAUAAACUUCAAUUGGGUUAUAAGCAUCGGUAAUUGGUUUGAAUUCUACAAGGGGCAUGUCGAACCUAACAUGAUUGUUUCUCUAUUGUGUUUCAAAAUUUUAUGGUCUUUUUAAAAUUGAUAUCAACUUACGUUUUAUUUUCUGAACACCAUAAUUAUCCUAAUUGUAAUUUAUACAAGAAGACUAUGUUAAGAAUGCAAUACAAGAUGCAUGGUUUGAAGCAAAGUAAAAAUUAUGAGUAAAUCGAUCUACUAACCGCCAUGUUGGUAACUUUUUUCUUGAAUGGACGGUCGAGGUAAAUGAAUAUUUUUUGGUAUAUCAGUAUCAUCUUUUUAGCUUAAUAUUUCCUUGCUAAAAUUUUUAUUUUGACAAAUUGCAUCCAGAGAAUAUAAGUAGUUUAAAUAUAUGGGAAAAUGAAAUGAACAUAAUGAUUUUUCUAAAUGAUGCUCUGGUCAUGGAAGUCUAAUCUCUGGGUCCGGGUUAUAACAUAAUUUGAUAUUUGAAUGGGCUCUGCAAGAAAAUGGUUAUCACACACCAGAUCAUUUUUUUGGUAUACUAGUACCAAUUUUUAUAGCUCAAUAUUUCGGAGUUGUCAGUACUUUUUAUGCUGUUUUAAAUGCUUUACAUUUUAAAAUUAUAAAAUUAAUAAUGGUUUUUGUUUCUUCUAUUUAGUAGAGAACUUGAAAACAUCUCCUCCUCUUUAAUUAUAUUCUGGACCAUUUUGCCCUUGGUGCGGCUUUGGUGUUUUUCUCCAAUUUUGGUAUUGAUAUGGUUUUAACUAAAGACUCAGAGUUACUCUACAUAUUUGUUAAGCAAAAAAUUCCACCCUUGGCGAGAGAAGACUGUUUGAUCCAAUACUUGACCAUAUUGCCCCUGGUGUUGCUUUGUGGCUUUAGUGAAAUUAAUUAGGUGUUUCCCAUGUUUACAAACCAAGACUUCACAAGAACCUUACAUACUUGCUAUGCAAAGAUAUCAAGGUUUAUUGAUUUUCCUGGUGAUGCUUGGAUUCAACACUUUAGUUCUUAUCUCCUGUUUGUUGAUCAGUGAGCAAACACUGUCUUUUUUUUGUGCUUUGUGCUUUGGUUUGUUGAUAUUAAUUGUUACUUUUUUUCCCUUUUAUGUUUAUCUGUAUCAAUUCUUUGUAUUGUUCCAUCCACCAGCUGGUCAAUUAAUAUUAUUUUAAAUAUAUUGCCUUCAAAAAAAAUGUAGUAGUGGCUUUCAAUUCCUUUAUGCCCUUGAAAAGAGCAAGGCAUAUGAACUUCAUAUAUUU